rnacentral:rRNA from 1 species
GCUCAGGAUGAACGCUAGCUACAGGCUUAACACAUGCAAGUCGAGGGGCAGCGGGAUUGAAGCUUGCUUCAAUUGCCGGCGACCGGCGCACGGGUGAGUAACGCGUAUCCAACCUUCCGUACACUCAGGGAUAGCCUUUCGAAAGAAAGAUUAAUACCUGGUGGUAUGAUGAGAUUGCAUGAUAACAUCAUUAAAGAUUCAUCGGUGUACGAUGGGGAUGCGUUCCAUUAGGUAGUAGGCGGGGUAACGGCCCACCUAGCCAACGAUGGAUAGGGGUUCUGAGAGGAAGGUCCCCCACAUUGGAACUGAGACACGGUCCAAACUCCUACGGGAGGCAGCAGUGAGGAAUA